UACGGAGGGUGCAAGCGUUAUCCGGAUUCACUGGGUUUAAAGGGUGUGUAGGCGGGCUGUUAAGUCAGUGGUGAAAUCUCCGGGCUCAACCCGGAAACUGCCAUUGAUACUAUCAGUCUUGAAUCUUGUUGAGGUAGGCGGAAUAUGUCAUGUAGCGGUGAAAUGCUUAGAUAUGACAUAGAACACCGAUUGCGAAGGCAGCUUACUAAGCAAGUAUUGACGCUGAGGCACGAAAGCGUGGGGAUCAAACAGGAUUAGAUACCCCGGUAGUCC
rnacentral:rRNA from 1 species